UGUACAGAGGAAGGGUCAAACUACCACCAGGGUCAUAAAACUACCCCUGGAAAUGCCCACAACUCCUAUGAAAGCCUUGUCAAAUAUGUGAACUUAGGAGGAGAAAUGUUUUAAAAUACGACUCUAUAUCACAUUAUCUGUUUCUAAAGGUCAAAGAUGGGGUCAGUCGGGUUCUAAUGAGUGUUUCUUCAGGUUCACGGUACAGAGGAAGGGUCACACUACCACCAGGGUCAUAAAACUACUCCUGGAAAUGCCCACAACUCCUAUGAAAGCCUUGUCAAAUAUGUGUUUCUAGGUUCACGGUACAGAGGAAGGGUCACACUACCACCAGGGUCAUAAAACUACUCCUGGAAAUGCCCACAACUCCUAUGAAAGCCUUGUCAAAUAUGUGUUUCUAGGUUCACGGUACAGAGGAAGGGUCACACUACCACCAGGGCCAUGAAACUACUCCUGGAAAUGCCCACAACUCCUAUGAAAGCUUUGUCAAAUAUGUGUUUCUAGCUUCACUGUACAGAGGAAGGGUCAAACUACCACCAGGGUCAUAAAACUACCCAUGGAAAUGCCCACAACUCCUAUGAAAGCCUUGUCAAAUAUGUGUUUCUAGGUUCACUGUACAGAGGAAGGGUCACACUACCACCAGGGUCAUAAAACUACCCCUGGAAAUGCCCACAACUCCUAUGAAAGCCUUGUCAAAUAUGUGUUUCUAGGUUCACUGUACAGAGGAAGGGUCACACUACCACCAGGGUCAUAAAACUACCCCUGGAAAUGCCCACAACUCCUAUGAAAGCCUUGUCAAAUAUGUGUUUCUAGGUUCACGGUACAGAGGAAGGGUCACACUACCACCAGGGUCAUAAAACUACCCCUGGAAAUGCCCACAACUCCUACGAAAGCCUUGUCAAAUAUGUGUUUCUAGGUUCACGGUACAGAGGAAGGGUCAAACUACCACCAGGGUCAUAAAACUACCCCUGGAAAUGCCCACAACUCCUACGAAAGCCUUGUCAAAUAUGUGUUUCUAGGUUCACGGUACAGAGGAAGGGUCACACUACCACCAGGGUCAUAAAACUACCCCUGGAAAUGCCCACAACUCCUAUGAAAGCCUUGUCAAAUAUGUGUUUCUAGGUUCACGGUACAGAGGAAGGGUCACACUACCACCAGGGUCAUAAAACUACCCCUGGAAAUGCCCACAACUCCUAUGAAAGCUUUGUCAAAUAUGUGUUUCUAGGUUCAUGGUACAGAGGAAGGGUCAGACUACCACCAGGGUCAUAAAACUACCCCUGGAAAUGCCCACAACUCCUACGAAAGCCUUGUCAAAUAGGUGUUUCUAGGUUCACGGUACAGAGGAAGGGUCAGACUACCACCAGGGUCAUAAAACUACCCCUGGAAAUGCCCGCAACUCCUAUGAAAGCCUUGUCAAAUAUGUGUUUCUAGGUUCACGGUACAGAGGAAGGGUCAGACUACCACCAGGGUCAUAAAACUACCCCUGGAAAUGCCCGCAACUCCUAUGAAAGC